rnacentral:rRNA from 1 species
GAUGAACGCUGGCGGCGUGCCUAACACAUGCAAGUCGAGCGAACAGACGAGGAGCUUGCUCCUCUGACGUUAGCGGCGGACGGGUGAGUAACACGUGGAUAACCUACCUAUAAGACUGGGAUAACUUCGGGAAACCGGAGCUAAUACCGGAUAAUAUAUUGAACCGCAUGGUUCAAUAGUGAAAGACGGUUUUGCUGUCACUUAUAGAUGGAUCCGCGCCGCAUUAGCUAGUUGGUAAGGUAACGGCUUACCAAGGCAACGAUGCGUAGCCGACCUGAGAGGGUGAUCGGCCACACUGGAACUGAGACAGUGUCCAGACUCCUACGGGAGGCAGCAGUAGGGAAUCUUCCGCAGUGGGCGAAAGCCUGACGGAGCAACGCCGCGUGAGUGAUGAAGGUCUUCGGAUCGUAAAACUCUGUUAUUAGGGAAGAACAAAUGUGUAAGUAACUAUGCACGUCUUGACGGUACCUAGUCAGAAAGCCACGGCUAACUACGUG